AGAGAGCCAGCCGCUUAAUGAGCCCUGGGAAUCUGCAGGCUACAGGGGAUAGAGCAGAUCCCAGCACUAAGAAAAAAACCUGUAAAGUGCAUUCAGACAGCUGAUGAUAAUGGAUGUGGGAGAUGAUGCUGCCAUCAAGGAAAAAGCACACAUUUUAAUUGAGGAUGUAAUUAGGGAUGCAAAAGAGUAUCUGCGAGAUUUGCAAGAAAAAGAGAGAGAAGCUGAGUACAUCAUCCAAAACAUUCAAUGGACCUCAUGCAAGGACUUUACAGUGGAGAGAGGACAGCAGCAAAUUGAGGAAUACAUGUCGUCAUCUGUACUAGAGAGUGGAAGUCUUAUAGUGUGGUGUAUGUUCAGCAGACGUGGGAGCUUCAUGAAAGCUGGCUUCACUGGUCAGACUACCUCCAGGAAGAAGAACUGAAGUACAGCAGGAGGUACCAUUACCGGGUUCGCUGGAGCAUCCCAACAUGUAGGAAGCCCAUUCCACGAGCAACAGCGUGCAUUUAUUUCAUCAUCGAGAUCUCCAAAAUUAAACCACCUACCUUGCCGGUUGAGGUAUUCUUCAUUUUGGAGUCAAAUAGGCUCAUUCACAGACCAGGACAGUGUCGGUUUAGAGAAAAGUGGCUCAAAGACAUCAUUGAAAACAAGAGGAUUCUCAUGGACAGCGUAACUUUCUAAAUAAACAUUUGCUUCAGAUUAAAUCCAUUCAAAUGGGCACCUACAAUCUGUUGGUGUUGUCUGGAAAUAAACUGCAAUAGGCUUU